CUUGUUCGGCCUCCCGACGUCGUGACGUCAGUGCGUCGUGACGUAAGACGUAAAGGGGCGGGGCUUUACCUCAGCAAGGAGAGACACCGCCAUGACACUUCUUCGUCUUCCCGACGUCAUGACGUCAUGACGUAAAGGGGGCGGAGCGUUACCUCAGCGGGGAGGGCGCCGCCAUGACACUUCUUCGGCCUCACACCGCCGCAGACGUCGUAACGUGGUGACGUAGUGACGUCAUGACGUUAGGCGUAGAGGGGGCGGAGCGUUACCUCAGCGAGGAGAGAGCGGCUGGGCGCCGCCAUGAUACUUCUUCGGCCUCCUGACGUAGUGACGUGGUGGCGUCAGCACGCACACGCACGGGGGCGGAGCGUUACCUCAGCGAGGAGGGACCCGGAUGGAGGCGGAGGGGAGCGGAGGGGGCGCCUCCCCCCAUCCCGGCCCCGGCUGCAAGCGGCGGACGGCGGCGUGUGAGGGGGAGGCUCCGCCCCCCCCCAAGCAGAGGUUACCGGAGGCUGUGGCCGCCGCUCGGCUCCGGGUGCUGGGAGCUCAGCACGACCACGGCUACAGCGGGAACGGCCUCCCCCCGAGGCCCCUCCCCUGAGGCCGCGGAUGCCCCUCCCCCCCCCCUCC